CCUCAGCUGGCCUCAUCACGGACAGUCCCAUGAGGAGUGGGUGUUUGUUUCCUGCUUCACAGUUAGGGCAGGAACAAGCCCAGACGCAGCUUACCAGAGCAUGAAAAUGAAAUGGCCACCUCCUGUAACAAGAAAGACUUCUAGAAGAGGAAGGAGACAUCAAUACAUUCACAAAACCUUCAACUCGAAAUCUGUCUUGCCAAUAAGUGUGCAGGGAUAAAGACAGAAAAGUAGCACACCUGUCUCCAGAGGCUUCACUCAGCAGCUGAAAGCCACAGCCAAUCCUCAGAUGGAGCUCGGGAAGUCUUGUGGAAGAGUGGGGGAGAGUGCCAAGCAAACUGGUAGGGUUAAAACACUACAAGAAGUCCCCUACCGUCAGAUACCUUGGACCAUGGAGUAUGCUAGAGCCUGUGCAACCAACCCCAGAGCCGGGUUAUUUAUCUGCCGUUGGUCUCCAUGUGGGUCAUCUGACAAGUAGAUCCAGGACUGUCUGUUUGUGUUGCCUGCAUUGGAUCUGUUCCCCAUACCCGGACUGCCUGAUUGUAAAUCUGUG
ensembl:lncRNA